rnacentral:rRNA from 1 species
UACGGAGGGGGCUAGCGUUGUUCGGAAUUACUGGGCGUAAAGCGCACGUAGGCGGACUGGAAAGUCAGGGGUGAAAUCCCGGGGCUCAACCCCGGAACUGCCUUUGAAACUCCCAGUCUUGAGGUCGAGAGAGGUGAGUUGAAUUCCGAGUGUAGAGGUGAAAUUCGUAGAUAUUCGGAGGAACACCAGUGGCGAAGGCGGCUCACUGGCUCUAUACUGACGCUGAGGUGCGAAAGCGUGGGGAGCAAACAGG